rnacentral:rRNA from 1 species
UACGAAGGGGGCUAGCGUUGCUCGGAAUUACUGGGCGUAAAGCGCACGUAGGCGGCUCUUUAAGUCGGGGGUGAAAUCCUGGAGCUCAACUCCAGAACUGCCUUCGAUACUGGAGAGCUUGAGUUCGGGAGAGGUGAGUGGAACUGCGAGUGUAGAGGUGAAAUUCGUAGAUAUUCGCAAGAACACCAGUGGCGAAGGCGGCUCACUGGCCCGAUACUGACGCUGGAGGUGACGAAGCGGUGGGGAGCAAACAGGG